rnacentral:lncRNA from 1 species
CCCGCUUUGAGGAAAGUCGAUCCUCGCGUCGCCCUCGUCGUUUUGGUCCGCUCGGCUCGCUAAUUCGGUGAGUUUAACUCACUAAAUCUUGAUUAGACGGUUAAUGAUGCCCUAAGUGUGCUUAGCCAAAGUUAAGUAAGCUUAGUUGGUUAAAUUAGUUUAUUUGGUUGAUGAUUAGAUUAUGGUGUUUAAUUAAGUUAAAGUGUGUUUAGUUUAAAGUUAAGUAUGUUUAUUUUUAAUAUAAAGCGUUGAUGUGACAUAAUAGGGUUUUAAUUUUGAAUUAUUUAAUUGCUUCGAAAUUCUGGAAAUUUAUAAUAUUAUAUUAAUUCCGAAAUUAUUAAAUAUUAUUAUUUAAAAAAAAUCAGAAAAAUUAUUUUUGACCCCGGUUGCUCAGAAUUUCGUGCCGAUCGCUGCUGUGUAGUUGGAUUUUGAAAUUGAUGAUUGGAUAUUAUAAAUUGAGUGUGGAUUUCGAAAACUAUGAAUAUUAUUAUUUAAUUAAUUUUCGGAAUAAAUUUAAUUAUCUAUUAAAUUCCGAAAAUUUUCAUUGGGAUCUUAUUUGCUCAGAAUUUCGUGCCGAUCGCUGUUGUGCAUUUAGAAUUUGAAUUUGAUGAAUGGAUGUGGCGAAUUGAGUGCUGAUUGUGAUAAAUAUGGAUUCUUUAUAAAAUUCUAAGUGUGGAAAUUGAUGGGCGAUUGGCCGUGAUAUGCCACUUAUUAGAGGUCGCGCCCAGUGGGGCCGUGAUAUGCCACCUACUAGAGGUCGCGCCCAGUGGGGCCGUUAUAUGCCACCUACUAGAGGUCGCGCCCAGUGAGGCCGUGAUAUGCCACCUACUAGAGGUCGCGGUCGCGCCCAGUGGGGCCGUGAUAUGCCACCUGAUAGAGGUCGCGCCCCGUGGGGCCGUGAUAUGCCACCUAUUAGAGGUCGCGCCCAGUGGGGCCGUGAUAUGCCACCUGAUAGAGGUCGCGCCCAGUGGGGCCGUGAUAUGCCACCUAUUAGAGGUCGCGCCCAGUGGGGCCGUGAUAUGCCACCUAUUAGAGGUCGCGCCCAAUGGGGCCGUGAUAUGCCACCUGUUAAAGGUCGCGCCGAGUGGGGCCGUGAUGCCACUGAUUCUAAUUUUUCCGAGUAGGGCCAUGAUUGUGAGCAAUGAUUGAUUUGUUGGAAUGACAUGUAAUCGGCGGAGUCAAUUGAUCGCUGAGACGAUCCAAGUGGUUGAAUUAUUUUGAUAAUGUGAUUGAGCCAUGGUUGUUUGGUUAUCAUAAUUGUACGUGGUUGAAUUAUAUAAAUUGCGCUAACCUGCAGAUGAAGGCUGAGGUGUGGUAAGUCUUCUGUGUGAUGUGGCUAGGCCAUCCGGGGUGUAUUUUCUUUCUAAUAGGGGUUUAGGGGGUUGAACUUGCUGAGACAUCGUCUCAUCCCGGUUGUGGGAUUAAAAUUUCAGGUCCCCGGUGGACGGAGUGGCCAGAUAGCUUUGGUUGGCCUUGAGGAGUUGCAGAGGUGAAGUCAUAAGGGUUGGAGAGCGUGUCCUGCUAGUUGGUUGUAGGAUAGUUCCCCUUUUGUCGAGCUGGUCUAUUUUGUAGAAAGUCCAGUGUUGUAUUUAAACCCUUUGUGUUUGUAAAUGAG